GUAAGAAAUGUAAGAAAUGCAAUCCCAGACGCCAUACUGUUGCUUCUAAUCCUCCCUCACCAGCCCUUUCAGCCAGGGCCUUGGGCUGGGUAGUCACCCGCUGGCCUGGUGAAGGAGUGGCAGGGGGAAGUGGUCUUUGUCUGUGGGCUGUGGUCGUCUGUACGAGGAGUCUGUAGUCAGCGGUGUUUGUGUGUGCGUUAAUGAGUAACCGACUUCGAGUAUCACAAACACCGCUACUGUUCAGAAGAGCGACUCCGAAGUGAUCCCAGUGUACUGGGCAUGGUUGAGAAAUUCCCUCUGUACUAGGAGUCUGUAGUCAGGGGUGUUUGUGUGUGCGUUAAUGAGUAACCGACUUCGAGUAUCACAAACACCGCUACUGUUCAGAAGAGCGACUCCGAAGUGAUCCCAGUGUACUGGGCAUGGUUGAGAAAUUCCCUCUGUACGAGGAGUCUGUAGUCAGGGGUGUUUGUGUGUGCGUUAAUGAGUAACCGACUUCGAGUAUCACAAACACCGCUACUGUUCAGAAGAGCGACUCCGAAGUGAUCCCAGUGUACUGGGCAUGGUUGAGAAAUUCCCUCUGUACGAGGAGUCUGUAGUCAGGGGUGUUUGUGUGUGCGUUAAUGAGUAACCGACUUCGAGUAUCACAAACACCGCUACUGUUCAGAAGAGCGACUCCGAAGUGAUCCCAGUGUACUGGGCAUGGUUGAGAAAUUCCCUCUGUACGAGGAGUCUGUAGUCAGGUGUGUUUGUGUGUGCGUUAAUGAGUAACCGACUUCGAGUAUCACAAACACCGCUACUGUUCAGAAGAGCGACUCCGAGGUGAUCCCAGUGUACUGGGCAUGGUUGAGAAAUUCCCUCUGUACGAGGAGUCUGUAGUCAGGUGUGUUUGUGUGUGCGUUAAUGAGUAACCGACUUCGAGUAUCACAAACACCGCUACUGUUCAGAAGAGCAACUUCGAGGUGAUCCCAGUGUACUGGGCAUGGUUGAGAAAUUCCCUCUGUACGAGGAGUCUGUAGUCAGGUGUGUUUGUGUGUGCGUUAAUGAGUAACCGACUUCGAGUAUCACAAACACCGCUACUGUUCAGAAGAGCGACUCCGAGGUGAUCCCAGUGUACUGGGCAUGGUUGAGAAGUACCGUUAAACUGGUGCUUUUCAGUGGUCGUCUGUACCAGGAGUCUGUAGUCAGGGGUGUUUGUGUGUGCGUUAAUGAGUAACCGACUUCGAGUAUCACAAACACCGCUACUGUUCAGAAGAGCGACUCCGAAGUGAUCCCAGUGUACUGGGCAUGGUUGAGAAAUUCCCUCUGUACGAGGAGUCUGUAGUCAGGGUGUUUGUGUGUGCGUUAAUGAGUAACCGACUUCGAGUAUCACAAACACCGCUACUGUUCAGAAGAGCGACUCCGAGGUGAUCCCAGUGUACUGGGCAUGGUUGAGAAAUUCCCUCUGUACGAGGUGUCUGUAGUAAGGGGUGUUUGUGUGUGCGUUAAUGAGUAACCGACUUCGAGUAUCACAAACACCGCUACUGUUCAGAAGAGCGACUCCGAGGUGAUCCCAGUGUACUGGGCAUGGUUGAGAAAUUCCCUCUGUACGAGGAGUCUGUAGUCAGGGGUGUUUGUGUGUGCGUUAAUGAGUAACCGACUUCGAGUAUCACAAACACCGCUACUGUUCAGAAGAGCGACUCCGAAGUAAUCCCAGUGUACUGGGCAUGGUUGAGAAAUUCCCUCUGUACGAGGAGUCUGUAGUCAGGGGUGUUUGUGUGUGCGUUAAUGAGUAACCGACUUCGAGUAUCACAAACACCGCAACUGUUCAGAAGAGCGACUCCGAAGUGAUCCCAGUGUACUGGGCAUGGUUGAGAAAUUCCCUCUGUACGAGGAGUCUGUAGUCAGGGGUGUUUGUGUGUGCGUUAAUGAGUAACCGACUUCGAGUAUCACAAACACCGCUACUGUUCAGAAGAGCGACUCCGAAGUGAUCCCAGUGUACUGGGCAUGGUUGAGAAAUAUCGUUAAGGUGUCAAGUUUGGUGAACCGGCGAUAUUGGAACUACGCCGUUGAUGUCACAGUCGGUGAGCCAGCGAUGUGAAGCAACGCUGACGAUGUCAUAGUCGCUGAGCCAGCGAUGUGAAGCAACGCUGACGAUGUCAUAGUCGGGUAGCCAGCGAUGUGAAGCAACGUUGACGAUGUCAUAGUCGGUGAGCCAACGAUGUGAAGCAACGCUGACGAUGUCAUAGUCCGUGAGCCAGCGAUGUGAAGCAACGCUGACGAUGUCAUAGUCGGUGAGCCAGCGAUGUGGGGGCAACGCUGACGAUGUCAUAGUCGGUGAGCCAGCGAUGGGGGAAUAACGCUGACGAUGUCAUAGUCGGUGAGCCAGCGAUGGGGGAAUAACGCUGGUGGUGUCAUAAUCGGUGUGCCAGCGAUGGCGAGUAACGCUGGUGGUGUCAUGAUCGGUGUGCCAGCGAUGGGGGAAUAACGCUGGUGGUGUCAUAAUCGGUGUGCCAGCGAUGGGGAGUAACGCUGGUGGUGUCAUAAUCGGUGUGCCAGCGAUGGGGAGUAACGCUGGUGGUGUCAUAAUCGGUGUGCCAGCGAUGGGGAGUAACGCUGGUGGUGUCAUAAUCGGUGUGCCAGCGAUGGGGAGUAACGCUGGUGGUGUCAUAAUCGGUGUGCCAGCGAUGGGGGAGUAACGCUGGUGGUGUCGAAACCAUCAGGGAGUCUUGCAGAGGGCUUAGACAGAGCAAUAUCGGAGUGCCCCGUGAGCUUCAAGUAUCUACGCGUAGUCAAAAUGCCGCAGAAAGCACACGGGAGUCACUGGGACCACGCCUUACAAGACCCUUCAUCGUGCGUGUGUCUCAGCUGCGGGACGGACGGGAAGCAGACGCGACGCCUCCACCUCAGGCUGGAUCUGCUCGUGGGGAGAACUGGAGGUCUCGGCGAGGCGGUCGGCCGUGGGACUAGCGCUCACCCUCGAGACGCAGGUGGCGAUACUGAAAAGAUAAGCAGCUGAAGACACAGAUGAAUUAUAAAUUGUAGGAA